rnacentral:lncRNA from 1 species
UUUUUUUUUUUUUGAAAUAACUGACUUUUCACCCCAUUCACAGCUCACUACUUCCUCACACGAUGCACAAAUAUUUCUCAUAGAAUAUUUUGGUGUUCUUUGUAAUGUAAGAUGACUAUCAUGUCUGAUCUUUCAAGUACUGAACACUUUCCAUCAGUCUGUCCUGGUUAGGUACCUUGACUGAGGAUAGAUUCAAAUUGCAGGAACCCAAAGGCUGCAUAUGAGGGCACACUGGUACAUGUUCAUUCAUAAAUGUGAACACACAUAAAUAUGUGCAGGGGAUGAGGCGAUAAGGGGAAGGUACAGAUAGAAGAAGCCAACUGAAUUUCUUCCGGAGAUUGUCUAGAGUGGCUGCAUGUGAUCCAAACAUAAAGCCUUGGUCUAGGAAAUGUUGUUCUUCUAAUGCCCUUUGUCUUAUGCAUGCACACUAAGUGCCAAAACCUGUGACUUCCAAACCACAGGGCUUGUAUGAAUUAUCUACUUAGUCCUUUAUUAACAAAGUCAACGUGCAAAUUUGUGAGAUUCCAGGAUAAGCAGUUUAGUGAGCAGAGGAUUCUGUUGGUUCCAAACAGCAAGAAGAGCCAGAUCCAGUUGGAUGAGGCCUUACCAAAGGCAUGUGACCUAAUACUAUACUCUCUAGGGUUGUUGUUACUGACCAGCAACAGUACGCUGUCCGUCACAGUGAAAGGGCCUGCUCAUGCACUUCUCCUGGUCAUGACCCAUCCUCCACGUGGACAACUUUUGAAGGGAUGGGCCACAGGGUGCUCUUGGCAUGCAGGUGUUCCCAUGUGCUAUUUGGUGGCUGCUCAGCCAGUACACACUUGAGGGAAAGAGGGGGAACCCCCUUUGUAAUAUUCUUAAUGCUCUGGUGGGAGAAACUAUUUCCACUCCGUGCCUACCCCUCACAUGGUCACAGUCAUCCUCCUGACCCAUCUGUAUAGGCUCAGGUGUUACCAUCUGUUCUGAGUUUUCGAAAUGUCAGUGAUGACGUGGGCGGCCUGGAGUUUCAAAAUUCAGCCAGUUGUAUCGCUGCUGCCACUUCUACCUUGAUCUGUGUGUCCAUCUGCUGCCCCUGCCACCUGGGUCUGUUCCUUCCGGGCCACGCCCAGCUUCUGUGCUUAGGCUGCCUUCCAAGAGGGCUACAAGUCUCCAGGAUGUCUUUAGUUCUUCCCACAAAAUCAUUUUUCUGAAGCUGUGCAUUCAUCAUCCUAGCCCCUGCUCAAAACCUUUAAGCACUGACACACACACACACACACACACACACACACACGAAUGUUCCCUGCAAAUGAAAGGCCCAACACUAAUGGUCUGUCUCUAACAAAUUGCCGCAGCCUCCUCUUCCCCCAAGCCUGCCAUAGCCAGCCAGCCCUGGAUCUGCCACUUGUCACUAUACUUUGCCUCUUACCGUGCCACUCUUCCUAUAUGGGAAGAUCUGAAGGUCUUCUCUGAUUUUUAAGAUUUUGAUCCACCUGUCACUCUCUUUUAACCCAUACUAACAUAUUCCUUCUAAACUUCUGUAACGUUGGUAUAUUUUAUCCCAAACUGCAUUCUUUGGAAUUCUGGUCCUAUAAAAUUCUCCAAGAAAAAAAAAAAAAAGGGAAGGUUCCAUCACCAUCUACAUUUAGCAUAUACUGUCUAUGUUAUGCCAUUUGGGAUAUUUACAAAGCACAUUUCAGACAUUUACAAAGCAUGGCCAAAGGCUCUGAAAAGUCCUGCAAUAAUAAAAAAAAGUUUCUGUUGAAUCAACCUGGAGUUUCUCAUUCUAUACUAGACUGUGAAUUUUCUUGGUGUAUAGCAUUUGUUAUGUUCUAUACCACUCACUGGUGCCCCCUCACGUCCAUUGCCACAUUAUCAAUAAUGGACCCAUAGGUGGCCUGAGCAGAAAAACGGCAUAUAGGAAGUUUUACUGAAGCUUCUGCUUCCGAUGGGGGCAACUGCCACCAGAUGUUCUAGAUGUUCCAUUUCGUAAAACAUCAUGUUAGGUGAGCUACCAGAUUCCAAGAACCCUGUAGCAAGUCCUGACUUCAGUGGGCUCUCCUUGUUUGGAACCCGAUCUGUAAAUCCUGAAGGAAAACUCACCAGAGAACUGUGUGUUUAGAAUUUCAGUAGGGAUGUUGAGUUGGCAUCACGUCCUGCGGUGCUUUCUUUAUAACUGGGCUUCAAGUUUCCCUGUAAAUGGGAAUGCCUGGUUCUAAUGGGUAGGUAGUGAUAGAAGUGGGUCUGCCUCUGCCUGGUGCUUUCUCAGUUUUUGAAUGCUGCUGCCAAGCUGAUACUUCUGCCUAGGGAGCGCCUGCAGGGGCAGGACACAGUGGGUGAGGAGAGCAGAAUCAUAAAGAGAAAAGAAGAUUCCUUCAAUCUACAGGAAUCCCCAGAGACCGGUGGCUAAACUGGAAAGGUUGUCCAAUAGCUCCCCACCAUGGAGCAGGUCUUAGAUCGGGACAGAGAGGCCUCCUACAACUCAUGUUUCAGGGCCCCUGACUCCUAGUUCUGGGAACCUUUAGGAUAAGCAUACUGUUGAGCCAUCAGUUCAGUAGAGCACCUAGGCCUCCUGCUGGCAGACUUCUUUCUCUGUGGGUCUUUCUAGUACAGAGAACAUGGCCCAAGUAGCAAGUCAUGUGGCUAGAGGUUCUUUAAUGUUGACAGAAUUUCACAGAAAAUUCUAUCCCUACACUUUCAUUCCUGUAAGUUGCUUUUAAGCCACAUUUCAUAAAUCAGGACCCUGCACUACAUAAGGCAGUAGUGAAGAGUCCAAGUCAUAAAAGGCAACUGCAUUUCAGCUCCUGCUGCCUCUGCCUCCUGGCCAGGCUCACUGAAACACUGUGCUAGAGGAUUGCAAGCAAUGUCUGGACUCCCAGGAACAGUGCUGGGACCCAUUACCUAUAUCCAGCCCGAAUACAGAACAUUUGGACCCCAGUGCAAAAUGAAUACGUGUGGCCUCUUGUUCAAAAACUAUUCAGAAUUUCAAGAUGGUGACAGCAGAGUCAGAGGAGCUUAUGGUCUGUGCAAUUGUUCAUGGCUCAGAGUGGUGAACAAUUGCACAGACCAUAAGCCCAUGAGGUUGGUUUAGCUGGUAUCUGCCACGGACCUGGAAGGGAGGGUGCUGGGGGCUUUAUGGUCUCCCCCUAAGGACUUCAUGGUGGCAAGACUGAAGUCACAGCAUCCUGGAAAGACUUCUUUGAAAGGUGGGCUUCAGGCUAGCCAUCCAGGUGCUCUUUCUAGAUUUAUACCCUCUAAAACUGUUAGCAGACUCGAGCCCCACUAAGUCUUCUGGUUUGACUCCAACUCCAUGCUUUGGUGGGUUCGGGUUCCUUCUUAUAGGCUUGGUCCCUUUUCUACUCUUCAGGUUAUUCUUAUUGAUCCAGUUUCUUUGGCCCCAGAAAAAUCAGGUUUCUUUUCUACCUGGACUGCAGGUCUACUUUUCACACUUGAGAUCAAAUUUUUCAGUACGCAAAUAUCCAAACCUGAUGCUCCCCAUGCCCACAAGCAUGGGGGCUGGCCCAGCCUGUCCUGCAUCCAGCAUGAGCAUCUGCCUUUCCAUGAGCUGACUGCCAGUUGGGUCCAUUUAUUCUGAGCUGCUUCUUAGCUCUCCACUCACAUCCCCCUCUGCUAUGGCUCUACUGUCUCUCUACUGUGUUCACCAUCCACUUGUCUCAGGUUAUCCACCCUAACCCCUCUCCAUUUCUAUCUCUUAUUCUCUGAAAGCCAUAUGCUUCCCUCCGUCCCUUAGCCCCAAUUUCAGACAGAGAUGUGAUGCCAAAGCACUAAGUUCCACAUUCCAACCAAAAUUGCCUACUUCACCCCUUCCAACUCUGCCAAUGUAAAACCCACACACUUAAAAUAUUUUUAUUAGGAAAAAGCAGGCUGCUUAAUAAAUGGUACUAGGAAAAACAGCUGUCCAUUUAGAAAAAAAUUGGACACCUCUUCUUCAAAUUGUAAAUGAAAUUAAAUCCCCAUGAACUUGGCAUUUUGAACCAGAAAGAUAAAACUAUAAAAUACCUCAAGAAAAAAAAAAAAGAGAAUAUUUUUGUAAUCUAGAUUUCCUGAGCAAGCCAAACCUGGGUCUCCAGAAAAUCAUAACAGAUUGGAGUACAUAAAAAUUAAAUAGUUCUAUAAAAUAAAAGACACAGUAAACAAAGUAGAAGGUCAAGCAAUGGACUGGAAGAAAUGAUUUGCACCAUAUAUAUAUUAAAGAUUUAUUUUUUUGGGGGAUCCCUGGGUGGCGCAGCGGUUUGGCGCCUGCCUUUGGCCCAGGGCGCGAUCCUGGAGACCCGGGAUCGAAUCCCACAUCAGGCUCCCGGUGCAUGGAGCCUGCUUCUCCCUC